rnacentral:tRNA from 1 species
GGAAAUGUACCUGAAUGUAAAGGGUCACUAUGAUAAAGCGAACAUAGAGGUACACCAACCCUCAUUUCCU